rnacentral:lncRNA from 1 species
UUGUUUGGUAGUGAAAAUAUAAUUUUUAUUUUAUUUUUUUUAAACAAUAGCUGCCAGCAGUAUACUGGUAUAUCUGUAAAAGAAGUUCCAGAAAGAAAGGAAGACAAGAGGCUUACUACAAUACAUUUUCAUUGAACUGUUCAAGUAAUUCUGCAGAAAAUAUUCCAAUUCUGUCCAAUGCUAUGGCUUCAGGGGCUGAGACCACUUCCACGGCAAAAAUAUAAACCUGGUGGCAGGACACUCACUUGGCCCCAGAGGGGCUUGACUUAUGUGACUAAAGCAUGACAAACUUGCUUGUCUUUGAAUUCAAUGCUGAUUAUAAAUAGCACAAGAAAUUGGUUCAUUAGCACACUCAACCACAAGAUGAGAUGGAUGUCAAAACAGGUACAAAAUAAAAUAAAUGGCUAUUUGUUCCAAAUUUUGCCUUUUGGGGGGAGGGAGGGCUCGUCCUGUGUCCCUCCGGCACCGCUGUGCCCCUCUGGUGGUCCAGAAAUGGGCCGGACAUAUGGCAGAAGGAAAGCGGUUAUGGUUGUGGACAACAGCCUUUUAAUUUUCUGUUCAUUUCUCAGUUUGAAUUCAUUUAGCCCAGUCUCAACGAUCCUUACUACUUAAUGUCCUUAAUUAAACAAAGAACUAAAAGGGAUGAAACCUAAGUUCUCACAUAAGAGAAAUCUGGAUUCAACUUAUACCGAAUUAGGGAAGUUCUCUGAAGAAGGGAGGGCAAGAAGUGCUGGCAAAGGCUGGGAGGAGCCAUUUAAUACAGGGAACAGGGCGGGGAGGUGGGUGAGGGAUGUCUCUUCCCAGCAGUGCCCUCUCUCUCACUGCCUGUGUUUUCUCAUCCUGUUUGCAGAAGUGACCCUGGGAGACCCAAAUCUAGGCCAGUUCUCCACCAUGCUUCUCUGGGACCCCAGGCAAAAGACAGGCUGCCUGCAUCUGCUGUGGCUCAAGGAUCAAUUUAUCAAAGUAUCAUCAAAGGAUUCACAGCUUCUGGUCAAGGCAACUCACGGAACCACCUCCCUCUCUUUCAUCAGCUCUCAGUUUGGCUAAAGAGAACAUGGACUCCUCCUCUCCCACGCUUUCCUCCACCCCUCUAUGACUCCCAGAAAUGCCAUAACUUAAAAGGGAAGAAGGGAAGGUGAUGGUUUGAGGAAAUGUCCAGGUACAGAUGCAUCCCUCUGACCAAGGGAACAAGGGAAGGACAGGGGUCCCCUAAGUCCUCGAGAACCGAUUUGCAGUUUUUUCCUUCUGGAGCUGAAAAAGUCUCCAGGCAAAGUUUUUGAGACAAGGGUUAAAAACAAAAACCUAAAAAAAAUUUUUUGUCAACAUUUGAUCUGCAAUGGGGGCAAUAAUAAAGGCAAGACCAAGGCAUCUUCCUGAGCCAAAUGGACACAAAACAGACCUUUUGUUGCUGUUACUUUCCUAUGCUGAGUUAACUUUAUGGUAAAGUAGAACAUACACACAAAAUAAAAAAGGCAGGAUACUUUAAAGAGUCAGGCUGUCUCCACAAAGCCAAUGCUCAUGAAAUGUUAGCAUAUAAGAGCAUUCCCAUUUUAAGGGGUAUGGUCCAAAAUUCUCACAAGAUAGCUUAGGAGAAAUAGCACUUCAGUUUUAUAAAA